rnacentral:RNase_P_RNA from 1 species
GGAGCGGAUCGGAGGAUCGCGGCGGAGUCACAACGAUGCCGAGGAAAGUCCGAACUCCUACGGGCAGCAGGCUGGCUAACGGCCAGGCGCGGUGACGCGACGGAAAGUGCAACAGAAAAUAAACCGCCGAUCAUUGACUGCAGCAGAGGUUCGCAAGGUCAACGAGGUAAGGGUGAAACGGUGCGGUAAGAGCGCACCGCGUCGCACGUGAGUGUCGACGGCACGGCAAACCCCCUGCGGAGCAAGACCAAAUAGGGACGUGAUGGACUCGCCCGUGUCCACUCGAGCGUCCGGGUAGGUUGCUUGACCGCCGCGGUAACGCGAGCGGCAGACGAAUGAUCUUCGCCCCGAGCGCGCAAGCGCAAAGGGAACAAAAUUCGGCUUACAGAUCCGCUCCACGC